UACGAAGGGGGCUAGCGUUGCUCGGAAUCACUGGGAGUAAAGGGUGCGUAGGCGGGUUUUUAAGUCAGGGGUGAAAUCCUGGAGCUCAACUCCAGAACUGCCUUUGAUACUGAAGAUCUUGAGUUCGGGAGAGGUGAGUGGAACUGCGAGUGUAGAGGUGAAAUUCGUAGAUAUUCGCAAGAACACCAGUGGCGAAGGCGGCUCACUGGCCCGAUACUGACGCUGAGGCACGAAAGCGUGGGGAGCAAACAGG
rnacentral:rRNA from 1 species